rnacentral:rRNA from 1 species
ACUCCUACGGGAGGCAGCAGUGGGGAAUAUUGCACAAUGGGCGCAAGCCUGAUGCAGCCAUGCCGCGUGUAUGAAGAAGGCCUUCGGGUUGUAAAGUACUUUCAGCAGUGAGGAAGGUGGGUAUGUUAAUAGCAUACUCAUUUGUACGUUAGCUGCAGAAGAAGCACCGGCUAACUCCGUGCCAGCAGCCGCGGUAAUACGGAGGGUGCGAGCGUUAAUCGGAAUUACUGGGCGUAAAGCGCAUGCAGGUGGUUGUUAAGUCAGAUGUGAAAGCCCGGGGCUCAACCUCGGAAUUGCAUUUGAAACUGGCAAACUAGAGUACUGUAGAGGGGGUAGAAUUUCAGGUGUAGCGGUGAAAUGCGUAGAGAUCUGAAGGAUACCGGUGGCGAAGGCGGCCCCUGGACAGAUACUGACACUCAGAUGCGAAAGCGUGGGAGCAAACAGGAUUAGAUA